rnacentral:lncRNA from 1 species
GCGGGCACGGCCGAAGGACCGGGAGGCGGUGGCUCGGCCCGAAUCGCCGUGAAGAAAGCGCAACUACGCUCCGCUCCGCGGGCCAAGAAACUGGAGAAACUCGGAGUGUACUCCGCCUGCAAGCCACAGCUGACUUGAAGCAGUAAAUAAAUGGUGAGAGUGACAGAGUGCUAAGAAUAGUAGAGAAGGGGCAGAAGAAUUAUUUUUAUAAGUGGCUGAGGUCAUUCAUUGCAAGCACAAAUGAAAGGUCAGAUCACUUAAAGAAGGCUACAUCAUGUUCAC